AAGACCCAAAAACUAACAUAUUUAGCAUUUAUUUUCGAUUUGUAAUCCCUUGAGGCCCGCGUAGUAAUAUCUUAAUCACACAUUACGCUGAAGACGGGUUCACAAAAAAGAAUUUCGAAUGGUUAACAAUAAUACAUCGCUCAAGGUGAAUAAUUAUCUAUUUUAACAUAACAACUAAUUUCAACAGUAAAAACAAAUAACAAAACAUUGUCAAAUUUGAAACAGAAGUGUACGAGUUGUCCUACGCUUCAGACUUGACAUUCACUAAACAUGCAUGCUGAAAUUGACAUGGUUGAUUUUGUAACACAAUCAUACACAUUCAAGUUUUGAAAUCGACAAGUG
rnacentral:lncRNA from 1 species